CCUACGGGAGGCAGCAGUGGGGAAUAUUGCACAAUGGGGGAAACCCUGAUGCAGCGACGCCGCGUGAGUGAAGAAGGAAUUCGGAAUGUAAAGCUCUAUCAGCAGGGAAGAAAAGGACGGUACCUGAGUAAGAAGCACCGGCUAACUCCGUGCCAGCAGCCGCGGUAAUACGGAGGGGGCAAGCGUUAUCCGGAUUUACUGGGUUGAAAGGGCGCGUAGACGGCAGUGCCAGUCUGGAGUGAAAGGCGGGGGCUCCACCCCCGGACUGCUCUUGAAACUGUUCGGCUGGAGUGCAGGAGCGGUAAGUGGAAUUCCUAGUGUAGCGGUGAAAUGCUUAGAUAUUAGG
rnacentral:rRNA from 1 species